rnacentral:rRNA from 1 species
UCGGGGUACACGAGCGGCGAACGGGUGAGUAACACGUGGGUGACCUGCCUCGCACUUCGGGAUAAGCCUGGGAAACUGGGUCUAAUACCGGAUAUGACCAUGGAAUGCAUGUUUUGUGGUGGAAAGAUUUAUCGGUGCGAGAUGGGCCCGCGGCCUAUCAGCUUGUUGGUGGGGUAACGGCCUACCAAGGCGACGACGGGUAGCCGACCUGAGAGGGUGACCGGCCACACUGGGACUGAGACACGGCCCAGACUCCUACGGGAGGCAGCAGUGGGGAAUAUUGCACAAUGGGCGAAAGCCUGAUGCAGCGACGCCGCGUGAGGGAUGACGGCCUUCGGGUUGUAAACCUCUUUCGACAGGGACGAAGCGUGAGUGACGGUACCUGUAGAAGAAGCACCGGCCAACUACGUGCCAGCAGCCGCGGUAAUACGUAGGGUGCGAGCGUUGUCCGGAAUUACUGGGCGUAAAGAGCUUGUAGGCGGUUUGUCGCGUCUUCUGUGAAAACUUGGGGCUCAACCUUAAGCUUGCAGGCGAUACGGGCAGACUAGAGUACUUCAGGGGAGACUGGAAUUCCUGGUGUAGCGGUGAAAUGCGCAGAUAUCAGGAGGAACACCGGUGGCGAAGGCGGGUCUCUGGGAAGUAACUGACGC